CAUAGAUUGAAACUAGGAGAAGAAAGGAGAAUUGGUAGGUAGAUCAACAGAGAUGACACAAUCAGAAGUGUAGAAAGAAAAUAGAAUAAAGAAAAAUAAAAGCUCAAAUCAAUGUAGUGAAGCAGGAGUGGCCGUGAGAAACAGACCUCUCAGACACUGAACUAGAAAGGAAGGCGUUUUACUAUUACGGCCCGGGAGCAAGGCUUUGUGUUUUGUCCAAAUGGCCAAGCUCCCCUAACAAGAGAAGCUCUGCCUUUAUAUAGGCUUACACUCUAGAUAUCACACGUGAAAGGAUCUUAGGUUUACAGCCUUAGAAAUUACAAGUGAAAGGGUCUGGGUUUACAGCUUUAGAAAUCACAUAUGAGGCUGGGUGCGGUGGCUCACGCCUAUAAUCCCAGUACUUUGGGAGGCCAAGUCAGGUGGAUCACGAGGCCAAGAGAUCAAGACCAUCCUGGUCAACAAGGUGAAACCCUGUCUCUACUGAAAAUACAAAAAUAGUUGGGCAUGGUGGCGUGCGCCUGUCUCCCCCUCAAAAAAAAAAAAAAAAAAAAAAAGGGAAAUCACAUAUGAAAGGGUCUUGGGUUUAUAGUUUUAGGAAUUACAUUUGAAAGGGUUCUGGUUUCCAGAUGGAGGAGUGGGGUGGGGGUUUAAUCUUGUUUAAGUAAAAACAAUGUCUUCUGGAGAGAAUCCCACAUAUCACGCCUGCUGUCUUAUAGGAAGGCAAUUCAGGAGGUACUGCCAGUAGCCUAGCCUUUUCUUCUGUUGAAAUGCAGUGUGGAGGUCAAGGGGGAGGUGAUCCCAGAUGCCUGUGUCUCCUUCCUCAGUAGAACAUCUUCAAGUGUACCAAAAUCUGGCUGGAGUUUGUAUGAGAGAGAGCAAUGUUUUCAAGUUGUAUUUUGCUUCCCAGCUGCUAUUUGUGCAGUCUACACUGAUGCACCAAAUAAAUAUCUAUUUAUAAAUCAGUUCCAUCCGAGAAAAAGUCAGAGACCAGUCAGGAGACUUCCACCCAAAGGCAACUGAAAAAAUACCCACAUUAAAUGGGUAAGUGAAGUCAAAGUAUACUAAGGCAUGGACCCCACACUGGGAACUUCAUCAUACAAUUGGGAAAGGAAUCUCCAAUACUCAGU
rnacentral:lncRNA from 1 species